GAAGCUGCAGUUCUGAUUUGACCCCUAGCCUGGGAAUUUCCAUAUGCCACAGGUGCAGUUCUAACAAGCAAACAAACAAACAAACAAAAAAGUCCUAAAAUUACUCACAGUCCUAAAAUUACUCAAAGUCACAAAACAUAGUCUUGAUUCAGUAAUCAAAACAUUUCCAGUUGACGAUAUUAAUCAAAUUCUUCAGGCUUUACUGAGAAAUAAGGUCCUCCUCCCACUCCAUGCUGAGGCCUAUGGGUGGUGGCCAUCUGCCUUAGAGAAGUGGGGGAUAAAGGUUUUCUUCUUUCUUUCCCCACUUGCCUGCUCCUAUUUGGACCCUCACCCGGAUAGAAGCAGGAGCAGGAAAGAAAGGUAAAGGGAUUGGUCAGUUCUCCCUUGGUAGAAUGAAGGGCUUCCCGUUCUUUUGGUUUCUUGGCUCUUUUCUGGGUUUUUUAAAUGUCUCCAUCACUGAGAGCCUGUCUCCGGCAAUUUGGGAGACAUGAGUUUAUAAUUUAUAUUCAGGUUGGUAGCCUACAACUCUUUCCUUAAUCAACUUCUAGGAAUCUAACAGUUAUACCCAGUUUUGUUUUGUUUUGUUUUGCUGGGGUCUCUAUACUCAUCGAGGUGGCUCUAUUGGACAGGGUCCAGUGUGACCCUACCUUGGCUGUCUUUCAUGGCACCCUUUUGAUUCUCAGGAAACACUCAAAUAUCCCUUGCCUGAUAAAUUCUGGGAAUGCUGGCCAAUCCCAACACAGUCAACCUUGUCCUCCUGCCAAGGGCCAUGUUAGCUUUCUCGGAAUGAAAAUGCAGCUCCAGUUCUCUGCCCCUACUGCAAGGAACAAAUGUCAAGCUCUCUGAGUGGUCUGGUGAAACCCCUGUCACUAGGGGUGAGGUGAAGGAGGUAAUACCCCUACCUCUCCAGCACUCCUGUAGAAGGUAGAGUGGAGUCUUAGCCUGGCAAAAGAUCUCUGCAAAGAAAUGUUUUCACAAAUCUUCCUCUCCACUCUCCUUCACAAUCUGGCUUAUUUCUUGGAAGUUCUUCUGGAGCAUUUCCUUUGUAAAUUCUGUGUAUCAGGAUCUGGCUUGGGAAUUGCCCAUCUACUGUAGGGCAUCUAUUAUGUCUUUCUGGAAACUUGAAUUUUAAUAUCAUAUUACCUAAGACUUUUAUUUCUAAUUAGGUGGGAAAUGUUAGGCUACUCCUAGUGAAAUCUCCAGUUUCAUUCAAGUAGCCUCAUUCUCUUUUGACAUUUAAAAAAUUGAGAUGACAACAUUAACAUGUAGUGUAUGCUUUAGGGGUGUUUUCUUCUAUGAUCCUCAUGAAGAGAGUUUUUCCUCUCUUUUGCAGAUGAUAAAACUGAGAAAUUAAUUGAUUUCCUCAAGUAACCCAGAAAAUGUCGAUCAAAGUUGAGGCUGAAACCCAGGUCUAGCUGAUUGCAAAAUCCAUGGCUUUCUGUUACAACAUGAUCUUCAGACUUUUCCACCAAAAUAUCCCAAAUGACAGAAUAGAGCGAACAUAUAUCCCUGAAAAAGGCUGGGUAGCCCAAAGAGGCACCACCACAAGUGCGACAUUUCUCUGAAGUCUCAUGGUUGAUUGUCAAAGUACGUACACAAUUUGCAUUUUAUUCUACAAUAUGUGUUUACUGUCAUAUAAACUAUGUUAAAAAUUAUCACUCAAAUUGCCUAUGUUCUCCCUAUCUGAAAUUUCAAGUAAAAUUGAUCCUCUAGAAAAAUGUACUAUCUUUACCCUGUAGUUUCAUGAAUCUUGAGCAUAUUACUCCAGUUUGAGAAAUCCCAGCAUACUCCACAAGGUAUUAGACUAUGCUGGUGAGAUAUUAACAAUUUCAAGGAAAGCCUCAAUCCAUUGUACCCACUAGAAUGAGGGAAAUGAAAAGAUAAAAGAUUCAAGACUUGUGGAGUUCCCUGGUGGCCUAGUGGUUAAGGAUUUGGUGUUGUAACUGCUGUGGCUUGGGUUUGAUCCCUGGCCUGGGAACUUGCGUAUGCUAUGAGUGGGGCAAAAAAUUUUGUAAAAAAAAGAAUGCAAGACUUGUUAAGGAGAAUUUGGUGAUAAAGGAAAAAGCACUGCAGUAAUUUCAUAAAGAUUGGUAUAACACUUAUUAUUACACUAUUAUAUUAUAUACUACUAUUAUUAUUAAUUCCACAAUAAAAAUUGUGACCAUGAGUUUUUGGACAAACAAUGCACCAAUGAUGUUAUAAUAUUGGAAAAGUAACAUGAGGACAUUCAGCUGUUUUUAACCUAGAAGCCAUGGAACACAGAAACUAGAUGCCUAUUUCUGAUGAAGAGGACGGUCCAUAGCUUUCAUUAAAUUCUCAAAGGAAUCCAAGACCCACAAAACGUUAAGAAUGACUGCAACAGAGAAGAGAGCAGAGACUUUGAGAUCACACUGCCUUUUUUUUUUUUCAAAUACUGGCUACAAGCUUAAUAAACUACAUGAUUUACUUUAUCUCUGAGCCUUUGUUUCCUUAUUUGUAAAAUGAGGACAAUAAUAUCCAAAUCCCAGGGUUGUUGUGAGGAUUAAAUGAAAUUCUCUACAUUAAAUGCUUGACACAGAGUAGGCAAUCCAAAACUCUUCAUCUCCUUCUUGCCACAAUAUACAAAACACAGUAAGGGCAUUUAAACUACAGUUGGGAUGAAUCAUUUAUCAUGGAACAUGUAACCUGGAUAGAUAUACCUUCUUUAACGAUAUUAUACUUAAAGCUUAGACCCCUCCCCAACCAGAAAUACAGACCUAGAUUCCAAGACUGAUGUUAAAUCUCCACAAAAAAUUCAAAAUGAAAGUAUUCAGUUGGUGCCUUAAAAAAAAAAGUUUCUCAAACCUGGGAACAUACAUAUGCACACAUUCUGGUCAUAAAGAUGAAAUUAUUUAAACACCUCUACAUUCCGGUAUGUUUGGUUUCAAUUCUAAGUGUAUAUUACUAUAAAACCUAGGAUUAAAAAAACCUCUUGAAUUGAACAGGAGAUCUUAAAUGUCAAAUUAAGAGGCUUUUACAAAAACUGGGAGCCUACCCUAAUCCUUCAGAUUCAUGAAGAAGCCUUGAAGGGGUUAAAGUGGAAGGCUUAUACAAACUUUGCUUCUCAGCUUCUCUCUUAUCUCCUCCCUCUCUGGCUGCACACUCCACACCGCUAAAGCAAAGCCGAGCUGAAUCACUACCUUUCCCGCACACUCUCAACUGUUGCCUGUGAGAAAGAGGAACUGGAGACUUAACUAUUCAGGCUGCUUCCAUUCAAGUGUUCCAGACGGUAGAUACACAUCCAAACGGACACUUCUCUUGGCUCUUUGGAGUAUAUAAGGAGCAGGCAUCUGAAACUGCAAUCUGAAGCUAUAUUCCAGAGAUGUUCUUGAACAAGUUGCCUGUCGGUGCAAGCUUCAAAAGGGGUAUUUAAAUGGCCAACCCCGUGCAUCCUGUGAGCCAGGAAAGGAAAAUAAAUCUGUUGAGGAAUUUUAAGAGUCAAAUCUUCUGAGCCUACACCUGCUGCUGUCAGCAUCUCUGAGACCUACUCCAUCUGAGAAUUACCAGGUCUGACAACACGUUCCCUCCAGCCUACAGUGAGGGAUGUCAACAAAACUGUAGAAAAGUCACAUCCUCUAGACUUCCAACCCUCAAGCUGUGGCAGCUGGGAAGAAACCCUGCAAGCUCCAUCCUUACGGGAGAUUCAGAAAGACAAGAAGGGUAAAAACUCAGAUAUGCUGAGCCUGAAAUAAACAAAAGCUUUUAGAAAGUCUCCUCACAGAAGAGCCCAAUUAGAUUCAUAUAAUUAAUGCACACAUUAAAUGAGCUAUAGAUAAAAUAGAGCCCUUCCACCCUCUACGAAGACAGUAAAAGUCCAAUUUAAUACUCUGAGACAUUCUUAUCUACAUACCAGUAUUAUAAAGCAGUUUCACCAUAUUUUAAUCAGUAUAUGAGUAGGACUGGGGAAAAGAAAAUAUUUUAUUUACAUUUUUAAAAAACGAUUAAAAAGUUCUGAUAAAAAAAAUUAUUUGGGAAGGACACAGUGUGCUGGAGGACAGAGAGGGUGUGGCAAUUGCCAAAUUAGAACAUCACCAUUUUCUUACUUGUGCACUACUGACUUGGCUCUGGUUGUGACUGCUCCGUAUGACAUUGUUAGAACACCUCCAUCAUAUUCAGAGACAGUCUAAGUGACUGUGGAAUGCCUCAAGGGCAAUAGCAAUCAAAUAGAAACAGGGACCAACUCAAGUCUUGAGUGAUGACGGAGGUGCAUUUCAAGUACCAUGGAAAUCUCACUGGGCGGGCCCAUUUCCCCACCCUGGCAACUGAGGUUGACACUACUUCAGAUAAGUAUUCCAACCUAUAUAUGUAUGUGGGCUUAUUCCUGAGCCUCCUGGCCAUUCUCCUCAUCCUGCUCUUCACGAUGCUCCUCCGGCUCAAACAUGUCAUCUCACCCAUCACCUCUGAGAGCACAGAAAGUGUUCCUCAGUUCACAGAUGUAGAGAUGCAGAGUCGAAUCCCCACUCCUUAAAGUUAGGAUGAAAGUGUAUUUUAAUGGAUCUCAGUGAACCCUUGAAUGUUGAUGUUCAGGAAAGCUGACUGUGUUGCACGUAGCUUCCCAUGUAGGAAUCAACAAGUUGCUCAUUUAACAAGUUGGUUAUGUUCUCUUUGUGUUAUUCUUUAUCUUGAUUCUGCUUGUGGGAUAUCUUUGCCAGGAAUAUAGAAAAUGGCAGCUGGUUGGGAGGGCAGGUUUCCAUAGUAACCAAAGAGUGCCUGGAAUUUGAGCAAACCUCAGACCACAGAAAUUCAUAUGCAGCUGUUGUAAAAAACACAGGAUCCCUGGAAGCUCCAAGAACAAGGAGAAUUUGCCUUCAAAAGGGCUGAUUAUUCAAAGAGGGUACCCCAAGACAGGAACAAGUUUUAAUUUAGCAUUUGGACCCUGAAGAAUCACCUCUGUGUAAAGUGAAGCUAAAUAAUGUCAGAGAUUAAUGAAAGGGACCACGAGCCCUUUCCCAAAGGAGCAGUGAUUUUAUCAUCUAUGGCCAUCAGGUCUGUCCCAAAUGAAAGAAGAAUUUUGAAAGAAACUGCUUCAGUGUAAAGAAGUUUCUAGUCAACAAAUUCAUCUAGAGAAGGAAAAUGUGCAUUCUAUACCUGUGUUAUUACUAUUACUGGACUUUUAAAAACCCAGAUAAUGGCAGAUGUAUUACAAAAAUCUGGAACAAUGAGCUCCACCCAAACCAAGGGAAAAUUAAGUCAAAAUGUACUGGUAACAAUGAACCUUAUAUUAUACAUGCAGCCUCUUUGCCUUUUUCUCCCUCUUCAUCAUGUUCCAGGAUUGAAUGGCACUCAAAUAUAAGCUUUGUUUAAAGAUGGCCUUGGCAAAGAAGACUCAACUGCACUUUAAAGCAGAAAUGAAAUAAUCUUGGUAUUCUGUCGUUGAAUGAUUGUGGCUUUGGACAAAACAUUCGAGCCUCUGGGUGCCAGGUUUUUCUUUCUGAAAAAUGAUCUGAGAGCUAUUUAGUCAUCACUAGACUCCUUUUAGAGUGUAAAAAAACCCAAAGAGACAGAGGAGAAAAGGACUAAACAACACCCUCCAACAAAUCUUUAUUGAGAUCAAUGUCCUCAGAUGUCACAUUUGUCUUUUCCAGAAAAUGCCCCUCUCUCCCUGCUCCCUGCCAAAAGAUGAAGUGUUUCACUUAUUACCUAUAAGAGAAAUAUAUUUUAAAAAUUCCAUUCUCAUAGGUAGCCCUAGUAUGAGAGUAGUGGAGGAAAAAUUGGAUUCUUUAAAUAUUAACAUUCCAAAAGGGAACCAAAGGAAAUGAUUACUGUUUACAAAUUAGAAAUUAAAAGGCUAGUCAUACUCUUGCCACCAAAGAACUAACACCUAUGUUAAAUUCUGCCUGCUUAAGAAAUUAGUUCUCUCUUGCACCUAAAAAGUGGUCAUCAAGUUUCAACCAGGUGUUCCCUCAAGAAGUGCAGUGGCAGUGAGAGAGAAGUGGAAUGGAUAUUAGGUUAAUGAAAUCUCUACCAGACAUGCAGAUCUCUCUAGUUUGUUACCAAUUUAGAUUGGCCCCUUUACUCUGGUCUAAAUCUAGGAUGGAGGUGAAAUUCCCAAGUGCGUUCUACUUUUAUACACAGUCAUUUGCCAAGACUCCCCUCUCCAAGGGGCUGAAAAGUGUGAAAUCCCCACAUGCAGAGCUAAACUUAGCAAGGCUGACUCUGGCACACCUGUUACAAUAGCGCACCGUAAGAGAUGGCAACUGCAUUCUGCACCAUUCAGAAGAGAUCAGCAUCAGCAGGUAGGCUAAGACUCGGAGAGGGUAUGUGCCUAUCCUUUCGGCAUUGUAUUUUCCAGCAUGCAAAGUGAUUCAUAUUAUUACAUUUAGUGGUUUAAGUUAUGUCUUUAUUCAACACCCCAACUCCAUGUACCCUUUAAAAUGUCAGUUCUUGGCAGUCACACAUGAACUUCAUCAAAGGCUGCUAACCCAGAACUUCUUCAGGACACACAUCUCCCCUCACUCCGGGCUUUGCUUUUUGUGCUCACAGUAUUUGAAUGAACUGUACAGUUAAGAAGUCAGUGGCUGGAUAAAUGAAGGAACUGAUUACACUUUGAACAACAGUGAAUAGCAAGAUACCCACUGCCUUGUUGCUGAAUCUGAUGAAGAGACAGACUGUGAAUCUAUUCCUUGCCCACCUGACGUCCCCAACCCAGAUUUCAGGAGUUUAAAACUGCUCUUUAAUAACUGACUUGGAUGAAGAUUCCUAAUGUAUGAUUAGGUUACUCACCUGGAAAACAACGACUCUCUUUCAUCACAAUUACCCCAUGGGAUCUGGACCUUCACUGAGCAUUAACCAAAAUACACAGCACAGAUUGCACUAAAAUAGCAGCAUAACCCCUCACAAUUUCCAGUGAUAACAUAAAUGGAGAUGCAUGUAAGCAGAUGUGUCAUUAUGGUGACUCACAUGGUAUUUAAUCUUCAGGAAAAUAAACUGAAUGUUUUCAUCAUAGCAAACCUACUAUAAAGAAAACAACUUUUCCAUUUAUAUUAAAUUUAUUAUAUCCCCCAAUGUAUUAAUUAACACAUAUUACUGCUCAAAGAGGCAGCUAGAGCAAUCAAUGGGCAUAAUUUGAACUUAUCCACCUAUCCAAAAUGCUGACUUGACAAUUCCCUCCCUCACUCCUACUCUCCAAAAAAUUGCAUGUUAGCCUAAAAUGUAUAUAAACAUGUAGGUUAUUUAUACAUAAAUGUAUUUUCUUUUGGCCACACCUGUGGCAUGUGGAAAUUCCUGUGCCAGGGAUUGAACCUACGCAAUUGGGACCCGCGCCACAGCUGCGGCAGUGCCAGAUCCUUAACCCACUGCACCACAAGGGAACUUCCUAGAUGUACUUUCUUUUAAAGUAAAAGACUGCGUCUUCACUUUCUAUUACACUGAAUCACAUGAAAUUGCCAUUUCUGUAGGUAAAAAAUGCCAAAAUAUCAGCAAUUUCAUAUAAUUCAACCAAAUACUCACCACAUGAAUUCUUUAAAUAGUAAAUUCUCCUAAUAUGUUUAAAAUAACUUAAUUUCUAAAAAUGUACUUGGCAUACAUUUCAGGAUCAUGGGUUGUAUAAAACAAGGUUUAUUGUAAAAGACUUUUGUGUUAUGUAUUAUGUAUUAGGCAGGAAAUAUUAAAGGUUAAUCAAGUAAAGACGGGUUCAUCCAGCCUAACAUUUCCAUCUAUGCCAAAUCUGAAGCUUUGGACUCAUAGCUCAGUUUGACCACUACAGACCCCAUCAAACUUACUAAGUAGGUAAGAGGGGUCCAUUUAAUGCAACUAACUGGUUAUAUUUAAUAAUACAUCUUAUUCACCCGCAUUUGUACAAAGGAAGCUCCUUUUUUUUUCCAACAAAAUGAAGAAUUAUGUGGAAGAAAACAUUGGAUUUCUUUUGUAUAAAAUCAUUAAUAUUUGAAAUAGAUCGUAUAAACAGAAAUAUAAUAUUUGAAUUAAUAUUUAGCAUGUCAUUUUUUAAAAUGAUUUUUUUCCAUUAUAGCUGGUUUACAGUGUUCUGUCUGUUUUCUACUGUACAGAGAGGUGACCCAGUCACACAUACAUAUAUAUAUAGCAUGUCAUUUUUGAUCCCUGGGAAAUAAAUUCUGUUUGGUUUGGUUUGGUUUGCUGGUAUCAAAUAUCUAUUCUCUGAAAAAUAUAAAGAGCAUUAGUCUCUUAAUUUCAAUAUAAAUUGUAAUGAUUACAAAUUUGUGGGAUUUAUAAUUUUGAGGUGUCAUUAUUCCUUCUUAUUCCCUGAUUACCCAAAUUUUAUUUUCUCCCCAUUUGUAACCUUAUUGGUGUGUUUGUUUCUUUAGUAGUAAGAUGUGAAAAACAGGUAAUGACUACCAGUUGCCAAUGAAAGUGAUCUGAGGUGAGAGCAAGAUAAGGUAUCUAAAGUACCGAUACCUUUCUUUUUGUAUUUUUAGGGCUGCACCAUCGGCAUAUGGAAAUGCCCAGGCUAGGGGCUGAAUCUGAGUUGUAGCUGCUGGCCUAGGCCACAGCCACAGCAACUCAA